UCUCAUUUCAUCUUACCAACAACACGCCCCAUCGUAUAGCUUUAGCGUCCUUUGUUAAGUGUUUUCAUUACAUGAUUAGUAAAAGGUCUUUCUGAAUGAUCCAGACCAGCUCAUGAGAAUGGAUCCAGGCCACCCACACAUGACAGUGUGUCCCCACCCAUGUUCACCCUGCCCCUCAGACACAUGCAACUAAACUGACAUGUCAGGAAACUCUUGGCUAAGCAGUCUUGUGUUAGUAUUUCCACACCAAAUAAAACCAUAGCAAGAAAACAGAUAAUACAUAGAUAGCACUGAAUUUUAAAAUAAUGCUCUCAGCCUGAAAAAUCCCCAGUGAUGUCAAAGAAAAUCAUUAGAAAAAUAAGAAGAGCAGAAAAGGUGGUGGUGGGGGGGAUUUGAGCUUUGUUGGUCAGAAUAUGAACUGCUACCCUUGUUUGUCUCUGAGUUUUGUUAAGUUUCUCAUUUUGUCUUAAUAGUGAGGUCACCCUGCAGAAAAAUGCACGGUAGCUGUGUUCUUGUGGAGCAGAAGGGAAAGAUGAGACUGAAAGGUACAAACACCAUGUCCCUCACUGGGAGUCCUUGCAGGGGCAGGGCAGGGGUGAGGGCUUCUGAGAGACUCAGCAGUGAGCAGAUGAAAAGGGACAGUCUCCAGUGUCUUGGAGACAGCUGAUCAUGUGCAAGGUUCCACAGCAUGAUGAAAGGAGCUGUGGCAAUCCUUUAAGACUCCCUAUCUUCCCAGGACCGGUCAUAAUUUACAAGUAAGGACACGAAGGCUCAGAAAUCUCUAGCGAUGUGUCUGCCACCCUGUGACUAACAUGGCAGAGCCGAGAUUAGAACCUUGGUCUUUGGGUCUUAGCCUGCUAUGGUCAGGUCCUCACUGACCCCUCACUGAGGAGAGCAGAUGACUUUGUCUUAUGGUUGGGACGAUGGUUCUUCCCAUCCUUCUGCAAGAACAGGCUUGGAUGGCUUCCCCUCAGCCACAAAUCAGAUCUUAUCAUCGUCCCCACCAAUGACCAGCCACAGCUCCAAGUCACCAACUGUUAAAGAUGGAGUGUUUCUCAUAUUUCAAUUUAGUACUUAUGAGAUUGGGUACGUAUCAUCUGUAUUUGCUGUCAAUGAAGGAUGAAUUUUAACAACUGUAUAAGUAGAGCC
rnacentral:lncRNA from 1 species